GCCUCGGUAGUGCAAUCGGUUAGCACAACAGAAUGGACAUCUGUAGAUGCGCGUUUGAGUCCCACCUGAGAUC
rnacentral:tRNA from 1 species